rnacentral:rRNA from 1 species
AUGCCGAAAGAACCGAGGCGCAGCAACAAUCAGCGCCUCCUGCCUAUACCAACAGUAGGUUCUGCUAGGCGACAACCUCCAAUCAUGCAGGAACAUACUACCAAGAAAGGCCCAACUCGUGAGAACAAUUCAGCAGGGGUGAAUGCUCCCAUGUUGGGUGGAGUUGGCCAUCUCGGUAACCCCCAAUCCCGAGUUCAUUCUACCAUUAUAGCUUCAACCCAUCAAAAUGACAAAACUGGGAUGAACUACCUAUCAAGGGGUGGAGUGGGCAAUCCUAUCAGCCAGCAGGAGAAGUCUACCAGGAUUGUCUCAAACAAUGAAAACAAUAUAGGGGUGAAUUAUCUAUCAAGGGGUGGAGUGGGAAAUCCUAUCAACAAACAGGAUAAUUCUACCAGGAUGGUUUCAAACUAUGAAAACAAUACAAGCAUGGGGCUCAAUGUUCCAUCAUUGGGUGUUAUUAUCCGUCCUCAAACCGCACAAGGUCAUGGUGCCAAUGUAGUCUCAACUCCUGAGAACAACACAACAAUCGAUGCAUCAAUCGUUGGAACAGCAAACAGAGCUAUCCAUAUGGCCCGUGAAAAUCCUGUUGCCAAGACANNNNNNNNNNNNNNNNGUCAAUGA